rnacentral:sRNA from 1 species
UACAAUGUGGCCCAGGUAUUUAAAACUGG